AUUUCAGCAUAUAUUGGCAAACAACAUCGUGUCAAAUUAGAAAACAAGAGAAAGAAAAGGAAAAAGUAAACAUAGACAAAACAAAACAAAUGCAACGUAAGUGAGAAAAAGAGGAUUUUUAUUAUUUUCUAUUUUUUUUUUAUUUUUUAUUUUUUUUAAUUUUUACGAAAAAUAAAGCAACGCUAAAACACCUUCUACAUACUCUAGCAUCCCUAAUAGCAUGGUCAGUGAAUUUUUUUUGUUUGUUUACCUUUCUAUAUAUACCCCAGUUUGUUUACUUUACUUCUUAUAACGCAUCGCGUCAUUUCUGUGAGUACGUUUAUGCGCUGCAUAUACCUACUCCACCCUAAAAACCGCUUCUAAUACGUUCAUUUUCAAAUCCACUUAUAAACAAAGCAAUUGGUUCAUUGUCUUUCAUGCAUGAAUGGUGGAUCGCAGUAAUUAAAUUCUCACGUUAUUUUAAGGGUGCAAGUCUUGUCAAUUGAGGUCCGUUUGUUUACACUCCACUAUAUGCAUGAACAAAACCUAAACGUCUAUAAGCUUAGCUAAGCAAUCCAUUUACGUGUCGUCAUUUUCUAGUGCAUAAACGACCCCUUUUCCUUUUGCUACCUCUCAUUCUCAAAGAGGCAAAUCAUCUCGGCCGAAGCUGGAUUCGAAGGAACGAGAAGGGAGAUUUCGGAUCUAAGGCAACUGCACACAUGAUUAUAGGGGCAGAAAAAUGGGCAUGUCGGCCGAGAGGCGUUUCCAUAAUAAGAAUAUAUCCCUUUGUUAAAUUUUUGUUAAGAUAAUAUUUUAUUGUGUUAUCGAGACGGAUGUAGGAUUGAAGGACGCAUAGAAUACAAAACUUCCUCUACAAGAGAUUGACUUGACCUAAGCUUGUAAAAGGAAAAAGAUGAAAGACAAAUAAGGAGACAAUGUGAGAAUUAGCGUGCUUUAGUAAAACUAUUGAAAUGGGUGCUUUUUUGUUAAUUUGGUUAAGGAACUGUUGUUCACAUAGAUGAAAAAAAAAAAGAUCAUUUAGACACUUUAGAAUCGGUUGAUAUAAUCUCGUUUGCUAAAUUAACUCGCCGAUACCUCCGAGCGUUUUUCUUUGUUUCCUUCCUGAAGCGAUAAGGAAUUAUGAAUUCAAAAGCAACGCUAGUACAGUCCAAGCAAAAUUGGGUAAGGAGUGUUAAAGAGAAUUUGAUAAAUGAAAUAAGGUGUGUGGUUCUUUACGAUAGAUUUGAUAACGUGAUUGAGCAGCCGCGUUGAAUUGUCGUGAAAAUUCUUAACACGUUUACAGUGGGAAGAAAUGUUGAAGGUUUAAACUAGUUUAGCAAAGAAGAAGACGCUUGAAAGGUGUAAACAGCAUGUUUUAGUCUAAAUUUAUUAUUUUAGUUUAAUGUUUGUUUUUUGUUUAGCUUUGUGUAUGAGACAAAUUUACAUUUCAAUUUUAAUUACAAUAAUUGUUAUUGGUUAUU